GAAUGUCCUACGGCUGCAUAGUUUCUACCUUUCAUCCAAGAACAAGUUCAAGCUGCUCAAGGUUACUCCAAUCCUAUCAAUGACCCAUUCUUAAACAUAUGUAACUAAGAUUGGAGGAACUACUCUAAUUUUUUUGGAGAUUCCAACAGACUCAGGCUCAUACCCAAAUUUCUUCUGUGUAAAACUUUCAGAAUAGGUCCC
rnacentral:lncRNA from 1 species